GUGGAUAUGAGAGCAGGGAAUCUUACUUCCCUUAAUGUAACAUAUACAUGAGCAGUGCUGUCAUAGAGGCUAUAGAGAAUCAUUGAAUACAAUGAUUCACUAUGGAAGAAUCGCAGGCAUAUCGCAGCAAGCACUGCACAUGUGCCUACAUUCCUCAAUGCUCCUUUAUGAGGAGCAUUGGAAUGGCACGCCUUCAGGAUGAUGCAACCAGAGGAGGUGGUUGCGGCAGCCGGUCUGAUGAUGUCACUGCAUGGUACUGGGAGUGAAGUAGGGAAGACCAUAGAGACCAUGUAGAGGUUUUCAAACACUGUCUGACCCAAGGUAUAUGUG